CAGUGUGUUUCGACACACUAUCAUUAACUGAAUCCAUAGGUUAAUGAGGCGAACCGGGGGAACUGAAACAUCUAAGUACCCCGAGGAAAAGAAAUCAACCGAGAUUCCCCCAGUAGCGGCGAGCGAACGGGGAGCAGCCCAGAGCCUGAAUCAGUAUGUGUGUUAGUGGAAGCGUCUGGAAAGGCGCGCGAUACAGGGUGACAGCCCCGUACACAAAAAUGCACAUGCUGUGAGCUCGAUGAGUAGGGCGGGACACGUGGUAUCCUGUCUGAAUAUGGGGGGACCAUCCUCCAAGGCUAAAUACUCCUGACUGACCGAUAGUGAACCAGUACCGUGAGGGAAAGGCGAAAAGAACCCCGGCGAGGGGAGUGAAAAAGAACCUGAAACCGUGUACGUACAAGCAGUGGGAGCACGCUUAGGCGUGUGACUGCGUACCUUUUGUAUAAUGGGUCAGCGACUUAUAUUCUGUAGCAAGGUUAACCGAAUAGGGGAGCCGAAGGGAAACCGAGUCUUAACUGGGCGUUAAGUUGCAGGGUAUAGACCCGAAACCCGGUGAUCUAGCCAUGGGCAGGUUGAAGGUUGGGUAACACUAACUGGAGGACCGAACCGACUAAUGUUGAAAAAUUAGCGGAUGACUUGUGGCUGGGGGUGAAAGGCCAAUCAAACCGGGAGAUAGCUGGUUCUCCCCGAAAGCUAUUUAGGUAGCGCCUCGUGAAUUCAUCUCCGGGGGUAGAGCACUGUUUCGGCAAGGGGGUCAUCCCGACUUACCAACCCGAUGCAAACUGCGAAUACCGGAGAAUGUUAUCACGGGAGACACACGGCGGGUGCUAACGUCCGUCGUGAAGAGGGAAACAACCCAGACCGCCAGCUAAGGUCCCAAAGUCAUGGUUAAGUGGGAAACGAUGUGGGAAGGCCCAGACAGCCAGGAUGUUGGCUUAGAAGCAGCCAUCAUUUAAAGAAAGCGUAAUAGCUCACUGGUCGAGUCGGCCUGCGCGGAAGAUGUAACGGGGCUAAACCAUG
rnacentral:rRNA from 1 species